rnacentral:tRNA from 1 species
GGAGAGAUGGCAGAGUGGUCGAAUGCGACGGUCUUGAAAACCGUUAUAUCGAAAGGUAUCGUGGGUUCGAAUCCCACUCUCUCCUCCA